GACGAACGCUGGCGGCGUGCCUAAUACAUGCAAGUAGAACGCUGAAGGAGGAGCUUGCUUCUCUGGAUGAGUUGCGAACGGGUGAGUAACGCGUAGGUAACCUGCCUGGUAGCGGGGGAUAACUAUUGGAAACGAUAGCUAAUACCGCAUAAUAGCAGUUAUUGCAUGAUAACUGUUUGAAAGGUGCAAUUGCACCACUACCAGAUGGACCUGCGUUGUAUUAGCUAGUUGGUGGGGUAACGGCUCACCAAGGCGACGAUACAUAGCCGACCUGAGAGGGUGAUCGGCCACACUGGGACUGAGACACGGCCCAGACUCCUACGGGAGGCAGCAGUAGGGAAUCUUCGGCAAUGGACGGAAGUCUGACCGAGCAACGCCGCGUGAGUGAAGAAGGUUUUCGGAUCGUAAAGCUCUGUUGUAAGAGAAGAACGAGUGUGAGAGUGGAAAGUUUCACACUGUGACGGU
rnacentral:rRNA from 1 species